UACGUAGGGCGCAAGCGUUGUCCGGAAUUAUUGGGCGUAAAGAGCUCGUAGGCGGCUUGUCGCGUCGGUUGUGAAAGCCCGGGGCUUAACCCCGGGUCUGCAGUCGAUACGGGCAGGCUAGAGUGUGGUAGGGGAGAUCGGAAUUCCUGGUGUAGCGGUGAAAUUCGUAGAUAUCGGGAGGAACACCGGUGGCGAAGGCGGCGACCUGGGUAGAUACUGACGCUGAGGCGCGAAAGCGUGGGGAGCAAACAGG
rnacentral:rRNA from 1 species